GACGAACGCUGGCGGCGCGCUUCACACAUGCAAGUCGAACGAGAAGCCCGGGCUUACCCGGGUGGAAAGUGGCGAACGGGUGAGUAACACGUGAGCAACCUGCCCCGAAGACCGGGAUAACACCGGGAAACCGGUGCUAAUACCGGAUGUCUUCGCCGGACCGCAUGAUCCGGCGAGGACAUGGUCAGCCGCUUCGGGAUGGGCUCGCGGCCUAUCAGCUUAUUGGUGGGGUCACGGCCCACCAAGGCGACGACGGGUAGCUGGUCUGAGAGGAUGUCCAGCCACACUGGGACUGAGACACGGCCCAGACUCCUACGGGAGGCAGCAGUGGGGAAUCUUGCGCAAUGGGCGAAAGCCUGACGCAGCGACGCCGCGUGCGGGAUGAAGGCCUUCGGGUUGUAAACCGCUUUCAGCAGGGACGAAAUUGACGGUACCUGCAGAAGAAGCCCCGGCCAACUACGUGCCAGCAGCCGCCGAAGAC
rnacentral:rRNA from 1 species